GACGAACGCUGGCGGUGUGCUUCACACAUGCAAGUCGAACGAGGUAGCAAUACCUAGUGGCGGACGGGUGAGUAACGCGUGGGAAUCUGCCUUUAGAUGGGGGAUAACGGGUCGAAAGACUCGCUAAUACCGCAUAUGACGAAAGUUGAAAGGAGUAAUCCGUCUAAAGAUGAGCCCGCGUCCGAUUAGCUAGUUGGUAGAGUAAAAGCCUACCAAGGCGACGAUCCGGUAGCUGGUCUGAGAGGAUGAUCAGCCUCAAUGGGACUAGAAGACACGGCCCAUACUCCUACGGAGGCAGCAGUGGGAAUUUUACGCAAUGGGCGGAAAGACCUGACGUAGCGACACCGCGUGAGCG
rnacentral:rRNA from 1 species